UUGCAAGUGGGGUAUGUACAGUCUUUUUUAGUAGCCACUUAGUCACAAACACUGGUCAAAGUUAGCAUUCAUAUUUGUUUUUGUGUGACGGCAUUUUUCCCACACGAACUGCACUUUUACUGACGGUAUAUAACAAAAUACAGUUAGAAUGAAAUUACAUAUGUAUACAUUGUAAGGGCUACCGGUUUGACCGCUAACACUGCUAACUAUUUGGGUUAUCCUAUUGGGUGGGGGCUCC